AGCGAACGCUGGCGGCAUGCCUAACACAUGCAAGUCGAACGAGACCUUCGGGUCUAGUGGCGCACGGGUGCGUAACGCGUGGGAAUCUACCCUUGGGUUCGGAAUAACAGUUAGAAAUGACUGCUAAUACCGGAUGAUGACGUAAGUCCAAAGAUUUAUCGCCCAAGGAUGAGCCCGCGUAGGAUUAGCUUGUUGGUGGGGUAAUGGCCUACCAAGGCGACGAUCUUUAGCUGGUCUGGGAGGAUGAUCAGCCACACUGGGACUGAGACACGGCCAAGACUCCUACGGGAGGCAGCAGUGGGGAAUAUUGAACAAUGGGCGAAAGCCUGAUCCAGCAAUGCCGCGUGAGUGAUGAAGGCCUUAGGGUUGUAAAGCUCUUUUACCAGGGAUGAUAAUGACAGUACCUGGAGAAUAAGCUCCGGCUAACUCCGUGCCAGCAGCCGCCGUAA
rnacentral:rRNA from 1 species